GGGAUCCUCCCGGACCGCGGCACGAACCCGUGUCCCCUGCAUCGACAGACGGACUCUCAACCACUGCGCCACCAGGGAAGCCCUUCUCUUCUUUUAUUUUUAGCUUUGCAAGACAAGUAUCUGUUGGGAAAAAAAAAACAAUUUGUGAGAGUCCCCAGAAAGCGAGUAAGCUCCACAAAGAAACUUUCAUAGCAGAUUUCCUGAAGAAAAACUUAAUGUGUCAAAACCGCUCAAGUUCACAUGAACACUCUCCCUCCGGUUUGAAGACAUCUGAAAAUCAGCUGCCACGGCUGAGACACUGAAGCAGCUGGAAGCCAUAAAUCACGAGGGUGAGGGAUUCUGGGUUGCACGUUGGCAUGUGGUCUGUCAGGCCAGAAAAAUAGAGACAUAAAAGAGCCAAAGGUCGGAGGUAUGUAGAGUUUAGAAGCCUGAACUUGUGCUAUAUUUCAUGCAAGGAAACCUUGGCAUUGGUGGUUCUUUCCAAAUGCUCUUUCACUUUACUCUGCGGAUACGGCACUUGGUUAGAUCUUUACUCCUCUAAAUGGGCUGAAUUCAGCUUCCUGCUAUUCACCCUGCUACUAUUAACUGGAUCAUGUGCCUCCACGCCAUCAUGCAGGGGACCAAUUCCUUCAAGGGAACCUGGACUAAAUAAGAACUUUCCAGUUACAUCAAAAAUCCCUGACCCUUCUGAAACAAUUUAUGCUACCUUAAACUUUAAAAUGAAAGCAAUAUUUGAGAUGAUUUGGUUGUUCCUUUCACAUGACUCUAAAAACUGUCCACUCCCCUGGGCCGAACCCUAUUUCCCAAUUUCCUUACCCCCCAGGCUGGACCUCAUCAUAGAGAUAUUUGCCCAGGGGCCUGAGUAAUAACAGACCCGUUUAUUGAUUCAGAGCAGGAAAGUGAGAAGAAUGGCUUUCCUGGAAACUACCAACAGCUACACAGUUAAUUUUCCUGAGCAGUGUGUGGUAAUGACCCCCAAUGAUGGGAAGUUCCAAGUUCCAAAACACAGCACCAGGCUGGUGGAGAGGGAUCAAUGUCUACUGGCAAAGUGAAGGUAGAUACAACUGAAGCAUGAUUCCAAAAUCAAUCAAUGUUCCUGCCCAAACUGCCAAUGUUAGAACAGAGAAUUCACCAAAUGUCUUUCAAUUUAAAAAAGAAAAGCAAUUUUCCAGAUACCACAGUUGACUUAUAUACUCAUGACAAAUUAUCCUAUGGAUUUAGGAGAACAAUGGAUUUAAGGACAAAAAUCAAUCAGUCAGUCAGAGAAACCUACCUACAUGGUAGGGAAGACUAACUGUUCUUCUCCUUGUCAGGGCAUAUAGACACAAGUAAUCUUUCCUUAGGAAUCACCUAGACAAUUUCACCAACUUUUCACCUUACA